AACACGCUUCCGCUCCUCCCUGGCUCUGCAUGCUCUCUGCGCAUGCGUAAGACCCACUUCCUUUCUUCCGGUUUUCUCGACUACAAGAACUGGUUACAGCGUGCUCUCUUUUCUCGCUUGGUUGGAGGAUCGAGAUGAGAUUUUCUGGAGCUGAAACUGGACAUCAUGACCACAAAAAGCGAAGCACCUCUCAUCCUAAAAGUAGUUUGUGCAGACUUCCAGCCACCUGACUGAGAUGAUGUUUUAAGCUGAAACAGUAAAAGGUUGUGAGAGUAUCCGACUGAAGCACCUGGUCUGAAGAGAGCAUCAAACCUCAGCAGGAGCUGAAAGGAAAUGCAUGUGAUGAAAAUGAUGUCGGGUAUCCAGGUUCUGCAGCAGUGUCCUGAAGUCUAGACAUAUCCAGCACUUACUUUGUCAGCCUUUGUGUUUGAACAAAUUUGUCAUUGUGCUACUUGACUUGCUGAUUUGUCAGAUUGAUUAAGUUAAUAAAACAAUUUGGAAAUUGUGUA